rfam:Myotis lucifugus cont2.23594, whole genome shotgun sequence.
AGAGGCCUCUGCGGCUGGGGUGGAAUGCUUGCCUCAUUGCCAUGGUGACAAAGCAAGCAUUCUGCCAGGCCGCUCAUGCUGCCCAC